GAAGUACUCCCUCCAUCCGGAAAUACUUGUCAUCAAAAUGGAUAAAAGGGGAUGUAUCUAGACAUAUUUUAGUUCUAGAUACAUCUCUUUUUAUCCAUUUUGAUGACAAGUAUUUUCGGACGGAGGGAGUAAUAC
rnacentral:pre_miRNA from 1 species